GUGAUAAUUUUGAAUACCUUCUCUUCUGCAAGUUCUGCUUCUUCCGUGAAGAUUGAGCGGCGAUGGACGUGGAGGAUGUUGAGCAGAGUUCAUGGAUUGUUUUGUCAUGAUUAAUAAUUAUUGGAUUUGUCGGGUCUUCAUACUCGGCAUUUUCCGUGUCUUGAACGCUUUCGCUAAGAGUCCUUUUCGUUAGAAUUGUUUAUUCGUGCAGAGUCUAACUCGUUUGAAAAUUGUUUACUAUCCACUCUUUAUUUCCUUAGAUUUGGUAUUAUUGUUAGGAAAAAAUAUUAUGACGUUUUCAAGGUUAAUUCAGUUAUUAAGGUUUUGGUAAAA